UACGUAGGUGGCAAGCGUUGUCCGGAUUUAUUGGGUUUAAAGGGUGCGUAGGCGGCCCUGUAAGUCAGUGCUGAAAUAUCCCGGCUUAACCGGGAGGGUGGCAUUGAUACUGCGGGGCUAGAGUACAGAUGAGGUAGGCGGAAUUGACGGUGUAGCGGUGAAAUGCUUAGAUAUCGGGAAGAACACCCCGUGGCGAAGGCGGCUCUCUGGGACGGUACUGACGCUGAGACGCGAAAGCGUGGGGAGCGAACAGG
rnacentral:rRNA from 1 species